UACAGAGGUCUCAAGCGUUGUUCGGAUUCAUUGGGCGUAAAGGGUGCGUAGGCGGCGCGGUAAGUCGGAUGUGAAAUCUCGGAGCUUAACUUCGAAACUGCAUUCGAUACUGCCGUGCUUGAGGACUGGAGAGGAGACUGGAAUUUACGGUGUAGCGGUGAAAUGCGUAGAUAUCUGGAGGAACACCGGUGGCGAAGGCGGCAUCCUGGACCGGCAUUGACGCUGAGGCGCGAAAGCCAGGGGAGCAAACGGG
rnacentral:rRNA from 1 species